GACGAACGCUGGCGGCGUGCUUAACACAUGCAAGUCGAACGGAAAGGCCCUGCUUUUGUGGGGUGCUCGAGUGGCGAACGGGUGAGUAACACGUGAGUAACCUGCCCUUGACUUUGGGAUAACUUCAGGAAACUGGGGCUAAUACCGGAUAGGAGCUCCUGCUGCAUGGUGGGGGUUGGAAAGUUUCGGCGGUUGGGGAUGGACUGGCGGCUUAUCAGCUUGUUGGUGGGGUAGUGGCUUACCAAGGCUUAGACGGGUAGCCUGCCUGAGAGGGUGACCGGCGACAAGGGGACUGAGAGACGGAGCAGAAGCGAACGGGAGGCAAUAGGGGGGAGUAUGACACAGUGGGCGGAAGCGUGAGGUAGAAACGCUGCGAGCGGAAUAACGGCCUACGGGUUGAAAACAGAUGUGGCAGGUGACGAAGAGAGAGUGACGGUAAUGGGUAAAGAAGCAACGGCUAACUACGUG
rnacentral:rRNA from 1 species